GCACAUCAAAAUGAAAAGCAAACAGCCUCCAGCCACCCACAUCUUAAAGAGAAUUGGUUUGGGCUGCAGCUGGAGCCUCUUGCCUCUCCACCCAUGUGCAGAUGACUAGGCUGAGCUCUUGGGAAACUGAUCAAAGAUACACCCAGUAUUUCCCAACACCUUUCCUGAUCAGAGGAAAGGAUGUAGCACUUUCCUUAGCGUAAGUCUCAUUUAACUUGAAUUUUAUUCUCUCAAUGUCCUUCUAAGUGGGGAAAGGGGAGUAGACGGCAUCUUACAUUCAGUGACUUGACUUCCCUCUGCCUGACUGAAAAGGUGCCAAGGUAAACACCAGCACCAGAAGUAGAAAAUAAUUAAAUCCCAGAUUCAGGUAAGUACUGCAAAUAAGGCAUUUCUGCUUCUUUUCCAUCAAACCAAGAACUGCAUUCAGGCAACCAUAAUAGCAACUGAAUGUGCAACAAAAUCUACUUUUCAACUCUAGUGCCAAUUUCCUGAAAGACAAAGUACAAUCAAAAAACACAAAAGCUGUCCCAAUUUCAGCAUAUGCUGCUGAAACACAUAACAUGAGAACACACAGUCAGAAGUAUUCAUUCUGCAGUUACAGUCACGUGGCACAGUCACAUUCACAAAUGUGAACCUACAAAGCUCAGAACCUACUGGGGGAAGGCUAACAACUGCUAGCAGCCCUCCCUGGUAAGGGAGAACUAACAUUUCAAGACCACAGAAAAAAUUCCUGCCAUCCCCCUCACCAGCAAAUAAGAGGAAUAUUGUUCCAGAGUGAAGACCAGCGACACAGCAACACACCAGAGACAUUUUAGUCUGUAGGGGCAGGUACAUGGGAGCAGGUGAAAUGAGAGUAUGUGCUGCACACAGGCAAUGGGCAUUUCUGUGGGCAUCAGCAUUAGGGAAUUUGCUAGGAACAGGUAGGUUUAUGGCCACAGCAACAAACUUCAUCUGUGUCCUACCCAUACUGCUGACCUUCCUCCUCACAGAUAACAAGUGAUGCAAGACACUGUAAAAAAGUACUUCAGGUCUGACUUCAAGGCCUGGUUUUGGUACAAAGCCCUUGAGAUUGAGAAACUUGGGCUGUAGGGGGCCUACAUGCAUUGAUGAGCAUUUCAGCACAUUACUGAAAAAAGAUAAUGCAGAAUUUUCCAAACUUGAGCAGCAGUGCUAUGAAGUGGACAAAAGGCAUUUGAGGAAAAAUCAUUGUCCUGAGACAACAUUUUUGUGAACGGAGAGAAAAAUCCUUCCAGUUCUUAGGAAUAAAGGGAGUGGCAGUUGUUAAAACUGGAAUUCUGCCACUUGUACCAACUUCUCCCCAGAUGAGGAGUUCCUCACAGCCCUAUUCAUGGAGCUGAUGACAAUUCAAACCUUCUUUUGCGUAAGACCCUGCUGAUUCACUCAAAUGCUGAUCACGUUCAAUCACUUGUGCCUUAUUCACACAGCAGGACAGAUAAGUUAAGGAACUGGAAGAGCCAGCUCACCUUACUGAGGCCAGAAAUCAGAAAUCACCAGUGCUAAACCAGGAUAUUUUAUAAACCUGUCCACUAACAAGGAUACAGAUCCUGCUGCCUUCCUUGGGAAAGGAUGUUAAGGUCUCCAGGUCAGCAGUACACUACUGGAGAACUCUAGAUUCUGUCUAGCAACAAAUACACUGAGCACAAAGUCUAGGUGGGUUCAUUUAUAAUCUUGGAAAGACUGUAGGUGUGAAACAAAAGAUAUUAAUGUUGUGUGGAAAUCAUUCACUGGACUCCAUAUUUCUGGCUUUGCUGGUUUUUGACUUUAAAGCAUACCACUUUUUUUUUUUUUUUUCUCCAGAAUGCACAGUUGUGCAGGAGGGAAAAAAAAUCAAGACUAAUUGUCAGCAAGUUGAUGCUGAAGAGGCAAAUAAUACUGUUUCCUUUCCACAGCAGUGCUGAUGGUUGUCCCAAAAUCCAGUGAUAUUUCUAAGACUGGGAUGAAGUACUCAUCCUGCACAAGCAUUUAAUGAAGCUACUUUGAAGUGCUGACAUUUCACAGACCUGUGAUCAAAGAUGAUCAGAGGCAACUGAUCAACCUUAUCUUGGGCAACCCCCACCUCCACCCACCCCUGUCUAAACUAAGUCUUGGAUGUAAUGAACCAGAUUUGGAACACUGCCAUGAAAAGAACAGCUGGCCCCAGGCCCUCUCUUGCACAACAAGAGUUGCAGAAAAGCAAUGAGAAAUCUUCAAGAAUGAGUUCUCCAAGUCAAAGUUCUGCAUAAAGCAGUUGGAGUACCUUGAGAAAAAAAAAAGAGGAAGAAAAAUGAAGUUUGAACACUAGGAUUUACAUCCUCCAAGACUUAAAAGGAGAAUCAUUUCAAGCUUGAGAAUUCAGCUAAGUAGGUCCAAAACAAAACAAGACUGGGUUCUACUGGCUCUGGAGGGUCCCAAUUCAGCUCACCCAAAGUCUCUUUCCAGUUUGGCUCUCACAGUUAUGGACCACCUUGAUGGAAAAUACCCCACACCAUCAUUGACUCUUCGGAGGCUUGUAGUGAAUUCGGCACCGCUCAUUAAAUACCUGAGACACCAAAACAGAAGAGCAAAAGUCAAUCAGCCCCAUCCAGGAAAUGAGCAGAGGUUCACCAACAGUUUAAGCAACUACUUCUUCAUGUAGCACCCAUCUCAAGCUGCCCAGCUCUGAGGUAUCAAUAAAUGGCACUUACCAAGACAUCCAUCUCCAUUCACCUUCUCUUCUGGCUUUAGUAAAGACAAAGUUUGCAGUUUGGAGACUGCACAGCACUAAGUGUUCUCCCUCCAAUAAUAAAGAUUCUUAAUCCUGGCAGGCUGUUAUCAUCAAAAA